UACGUAGGGGGCUAGCGUUGUCCGGAAUCAUUGGGCGUAAAGAGCGUGUAGGCGGUCCGGUAAGUCCGCUGUGAAAGUCGGGGGCUCAACCCUCGAAUGCCGGUGGAUACUGUCGGGCUAGAGUGCGGAAGAGGCGAGUGGAAUUCCUGGUGUAGCGGUGAAUGCGCAGAUAUCAGGAGGAACACCUAUGGCGAAGGCAGCUCGCUGGGACGUUACUGACGCUGAGACGCGAAAGCGUGGGGAGCGAACAGG
rnacentral:rRNA from 1 species